AAACCAAGCAGCCAGAUGAACAGGAGAUCACCAGCUUCAAUGCUCUCAAAUAAGGUGAUUGAAGUAGUGUGCCGAGGACACUAUCAGAUGCUCUAGCAGGCACACAGCGAACCCCAGCCCACACUGAAUUUAAAAAGAGCCAAGGAAACGCUGGUUCCAAGCAUGCGCCGACCGCUGGAAUGCACACCAUGUGUUCCAAACCGUUCGCGUCAUACCCGCGUCAUUUCCGG